rnacentral:rRNA from 1 species
AUGAAAGAGCUAGGUCUGUGCGAGGAAGACCUAUAUGAUGUGGUCUUUGAUGAGGAUGAAGCACCAGAGGGGGCGGCAAGGUGGAUAGCUCUUGCAAAAGUACACUCUGCCAAAACGUACUCCCAAUACUGGUUCUUUCGGAACAUGAGAUCAGCUUGGGACCUUGCUCAGGAGGUGAUUUUCAAGCCACUCGAGGACAAUUUGUACACGGUGCAAUUCUCCUGCCUAGGAGAUUGGGAG